rnacentral:rRNA from 1 species
UACGUAGGGUGCAAGCGUUGUCCGGAAUUAUUGGGCGUAAAGAGCUCGUAGGCGGCCAGUUGCGUCCGCUGUGAAAUCCUGGGGCUUAACCCCGGGCGUGCAGUGGAUACGGGCUGGCUAGAGGCAGGCAGGGGAGAACGGAAUUCCCGGUGUAGCGGUGAAAUGCGCAGAUAUCAGGAAGAACACCCGUGGCGAAGGCGGCUCUCUGGAACGCAACUGACGCUGAGACGCGAAAGCGUGGGGAGCAAACAGG